rnacentral:rRNA from 1 species
UAACAAGGAUUCCCCUAGUAGCGGCGAGCGAAGCGGGAAGAGCUCAAAUUUAUAAUCUGGCACCUUCGGUGUCCGAGUUGUAAUCUCUAGAAAUGUUUUCCGCGUUGGACCGCACACAAGUCUGUUGGAAUACAGCGGCAUAGUGGUGAGACCCCCGUAUAUGGUGCGGACGCCCAGCGCUUUGUGAUACAUUUUCGAAGAGUCGAGUUGUUUGGGAAUGCAGCUCAAAUUGGGUGGUAAAUUCCAUCUAAAGCUAAAUAUUGGCGAGAGACCGAUAGCGAACAAGUACCGUGAGGGAAAGAUGAAAAGCACUUUGGAAAGAGAGUUAACAGUACGUGAAAUUGUUGGAAGGGAAACGCUUGAAGUCAGACUUGCUUGCCGAGCAAUCGGUUUGCAGGCCAGCAUCAGUUUUCCGGGAUGGAUAAUGGUAGAGAGAAGGUAGCAGUUUCGGCUGUGUUAUAGCUCUCUGCUGGAUACAUCUUGGGGGACUGAGGAACGCAGUGUGCCUUUGGCGGGGGUUUCGACCUCUUCACACUUAGGAUGCUGGUGGAAUGGCUUUAAACGAC